AUUGAACGCUGGCGGCAUGCCUUACACAUGCAAGUCGAACGGUAACGCGGGGCAACCUGGCGACGAGUGGCGAACGGGUGAGUAAUGCAUCGGAACGUGCCCAGUAGUGGGGGAUAGCCCGGCGAAAGCCGGAUUAAUACCGCAUACGACCUACGGGUGAAAGGGGGGGAUCGCAAGACCUCUCGCUAUUGGAGCGGCCGAUGUCAGAUUAGGUAGUUGGUGGGGUAAAAGCCUACCAAGCCGACGAUCUGUAGCUGGUCUGAGAGGACGACCAGCCACACUGGGGCGGAGACACGGCCCAGACUCCUACGGGAGGCAGCAGUGGGGAAUUUUGGACAAUGGGCGCAAGCCUGAUCCAGCCAUGCCGCGUGCGGGAAGAAGGCCUUCGGGUUGUAAACCGCUUUUGUCAGGGAAGAAAUCCUCUGGGUUAAUACCUCGGGGGGAUGACGGUACCUGAAGAAUAAGCACCGGCUAACUACGUGCCAGCCGCCGCAGUAACAC
rnacentral:rRNA from 1 species